rnacentral:rRNA from 1 species
GAUGAACGCUGGCGGCGUGCCUAAUACAUGCAAGUCGAGCGAACAGACGAGUAGCUUGCUCCUCUGACGUUAGCGGCGGACGGGUGAGUAACACGUGGAUAACCUACCUAUAAGACUGGGAUAACUUCGGGAACCCGGAGCUAAUACCGGAUAAUAUAUUGAACCGCAUGGUUCAAUAGUGAAAGACGGUUUUCCUGUCACUUAUAGAUGGAUCCGCGCCGCAUUAGCUAGUUGGUAAGGUAACGGCUUACCAAGGCAACGAUGCGUAGCCGACCUGAGAGGGUGAUCGGCCACACUGGAACUGAGACACGGUCCAGACUCCUACGGGAGGCAGCAGUAGGGAAUCUUCCGCAAUGGGCGAAAGCCUGACGGAGCAACGCCGCGUGAGUGAUGAAGGUCUUCGGAUCGUAAAACUCUGUUAUUAGGGAAGAACAAAUGUGUAAGUAACUAUGCACGUCUUGACGGUACCUAAUCAGAAAGCCACGGCUAACUACGUG